rnacentral:rRNA from 1 species
AGACCCGAAACCCGGUGAUCUAGCCAUGGGCAGGUUGAAGGUUGGGUAACACUAACUGGAGGACCGAACCGACUAAUGUUGAAAAAUUAGCGGAUGACCUGUGGCUGGGGGUGAAAGGCCAAUCAAACCGGGAGAUAGCUGGUUCUCCCCGAAAGCUAUUUAGGUAGCGCCUCGUGAACUCAUCUCCGGGGGUAGAGCACUGUUUCGGCUAGGGGGCCAUCCCGGCUUACCAACCCGAUGCAAACUGCGAAUACCGGAGAAUGUUAUCACGGGAGACACACGGCGGGUGCUAACGUCCGUCGUGAAGAGGGAAACAACCCAGACCGCCAGCUAAGGUCCCAAAGUCAUGGUUAAGUGGGAAACGAUGUGGGAAGGCCCAGACAGCCAGGAUGUUGGCUUAGAAGCAGCCAUCAUUUAAAGAAAGCGUAAUAGCUCACUGGUCGAGUCGGCCUGCGCGGAAGAUGUAACGGGGCUAAACCAUGCACCGAAGCUGCGGCAGCGACACUUUAGUGUUGUUGGGUAGGGGAGCGUUCUGUAAGCCGUUGAAGGUGUCCUGUGAGGGGUGCUGGAGGUAUCAGAAGUGCGAAUGCUGACAUAAGUAACGAUAAAGCGGGUGAAAAGCCCGCUCGCCGGAAGACCAAGGGUUCCUGUCCAACGUUAAUCGGGGCAGGGUGAGUCGACCCCUAAGGCGAGGCCGAAAGGCGUAGUCGAUGGGAAACGGGUUAAUAUUCCCGUACUUGGUGUUACUGCGAAGGGGGGACGGAGAAGGCUAUGUUGGCCGGGCGACGGUAGUCCCGGUUUAAGCGUGUAGGCUGGUUUUCCAGGCAAAUCCGGAAAAUCAAGGCUGAGGCGUGAUG